UACGGGGGGAGCAAGCGUUGUUCGGAUUUACUGGGCGUAAAGGGCGCGUAGGCGGUCAGCACAAUACAGUUGUGAAAUCUCCGGGCUUAACUCGGAAAGGUCAACUGAUACUGUGCGACUAGAGUGCAGAAGGGGCAACUGGAAUUCUCGGUGUAGCGGUGAAAUGCGUAGAUAUCGAGAGGAACACCUGCGGCGAAGGCGGGUUGCUGGGCUGACACUGACGCUGAGGCGCGAAAGCCAGGGGAGCGAACGGG
rnacentral:rRNA from 1 species